GAGAGAUUAGUCUGUCAGCAUAGCCAAGGUGACUGCCCAGAGCCGAAGUAAGGGUCCUCUCUGCCGUGUGCUUGAGAACUCUUUCCAUAGAGUGGGCAAGUCAUCCUUGGCUACCAAACACGACUCUUGUCU
rfam:Populus trichocarpa scaffold_1_contig_336, whole genome shotgun sequence.